UACGGAAGGUCCGGGCGUUAUCCGGAUUUAUUGGGUUUAAAGGGUGCGCAGGCGGAAUGUCAAGUCAGCGGUAAAAUUUCGGGGCUCAACCCCGUCGUGCCGUUGAAACUGGCGUUCUUGAGUGAGCGAGAAGUAUGCGGAAUGCGUGGUGUAGCGGUGAAAUGCAUAGAUAUCGCGCAGAACUCCGAUUGCGAAGGCAGCGUACCGGCGCCAGACUGACGCUGAGGCACGAAAGCGUGGGGAUCGAACAGG
rnacentral:rRNA from 1 species